rnacentral:rRNA from 1 species
UCAGGAUGAACGCUAGCGGCAGGCUUAACACAGUGCAAGUCGAGGGGCAGCGCGGUGUAGCAAUACACUGGCGGCGACCGGCGCAAGGGUGCGUAACGCGUGAGCGACAUGCCCGUCACCGGGGGAUAACCGGCGGAAACGCCGCUAACCCCCCAUAUUACAGUUGAUUGCAUGGUCAUCUGUUGAAAACCCUGGUGGUGACGGAUUGGCUCGCGUCCCAUUAGCUAGUCGGCGGGGUAACGGCCCACCGAGGCGACGAUGGGUAGGGGUUCUGAGAGGAAGGUCCCCCACAAUGGAACUGAGACACGGUCCAUACUCCUACGGGAGGCAGCAGUGAGGAAUAUUGGUCAAUGGGCGGAAGCCUGAACCAGCCAUGCCGCGUGCGGGAAGACGGCCCUACGGGUUGUAAACCGCUUUUGAGAGGGAGCAAUAAGGCGGCCUCGCGCCGUCGAUGAGAGUACCUUUCGAAUAAGCAUCGGCUAACUCCGUGCC